rnacentral:rRNA from 1 species
AUUGAACGCUGGCGGCGUGCCUAAUACAUGCAAGUCGAGCGAAUGGAUUAAGAGCUUGCUCUUAUGAAGUUAGCGGCGGACGGGUGAGUAACACGUGGGUAACCUGCCCAUAAGACUGGGAUAACUCCGGGAAACCGGGGCUAAUACCGGAAACAUUUUGAACCGCAUGGUUCGAAAUUGAAAGGCGGCUGCGGCGGUCACUUAUGGAUGGACCCGCGUCGCAUUAGCUAGUUGGUGAGGUAACGGCUCACCAAGGCAACGAUGCGUAGCCGACCUGAGAGGGUGAUCGGCCACACUGGGACUGAGACACGGCCCAGACUCCUACGGGAGGCAGCAGUAGGGAAUCUUCCGCAAUGGACGAAAGUCUGACGGAGCAACGCCGCGUGAGUGAUGAAGGCUUUCGGGUCGUAAAACUCUGUUGUUAGGGAAGAACAAGUGCUAGUUGAAUAAGCUGGCACCUUGACGGUACCUAACCAGAAAGCCACGGCUAACUACGUGCCAGCCGCCGCGGUAA